rnacentral:rRNA from 3 species
CCUCGGAUCAGGUAGGAAUACCCGCUGAACUUAAGCAUAUCAAUAAG